rnacentral:rRNA from 1 species
UCAAUGGAGAGUUUGAUCCUGGCUCAGUUUGAACGCUAGCGGUAUGCUUAACACAUGCAAGUCGAACGGGGUUUAGUUUUUAAUAAUUGUUAAUUGUUUAAACGCUUUUAACAAUUGUUAAUUGUUUAAACUUAGUGGCGCACGGGAGAGUAAUACGUAGGAAUCUACCUAUCGGAGUGGGAUACCCUUUGGAAACAAAGGUUAAUACCGUGUACGGCUUAGCAGUUAAACAAGGUACUUGUGCCUUGGCCGAUGGAUGAGCCUGCGUCUGAUUAGCUUGUUGGUGAAGUAAAGGUUUACCAAGGCUAUGAUCAGUAGCUGGUUUGAGAGGAUGAACAGCCUCAUUGGAACUGAGACACGGUCCAGACUCCUACGGGAGGCAGCAGUGAGGAAUAUUCCGCAAUGGGCGAAAGCCUGACGGAGCAAUACCGCGUGGAGGAGGAAGAACUGUGGUUUGUAAACUCCUUUUGUUAGGGAGUAAGGAAAAGCGCAUUUUUUUUGAAAGUACCUAACGAAUAAGUCCCUGCUAACUCUGUGCCAGCAGCAGCGGUAAUACAGGGGGGGCAAGCGUUAAACGAUCUAAUUGGGCGUAAAGGGCAAGUAGGCGUCUUAAUAAGAUUGUUGUUAAAAACUAGUGCUUAAAGCUAGAAAAGCAAUAGUGUACUGUUAAGAUUGAGUACAUCAGAGGUAACGGGAAUUCACAGUGUAGGGUUGAAAUCCGUAGAUAUUGUGAGGAACACCAAUGGCGAAGGCACGUUACUAUGAUGUUAUUUUUAGCUUUCUUAGGGGGUUAGUUAAUAUGUUGUUAUUUAGCUUUCUUAGGGGUGCUAAAUAAUAAAAUGUUAAUUAGGUUUCUUAGAGGGCUAAAUAGUACUGACGUUGAAUUGCGAAAGCAUGAGGAGCAAAGCAGAUUAGAGACCUGCGUAGUUCAUGCUGUAAACGAUGCAGACUAAAUGGUGGGUUUCAAAAGAAUUCUCUGUUAUAGCUAACGCGUUAAGUCUGCCGCCUGGGAAGUAAAGUCGCAAGACUGAAACUCAAAGGAAUAAGCGGGAAUCAAUACAAGCGGUGGAACAUGUGGUUUAAUUCGAUGAUACGCGAAGAACCUUACCAAGGUUUGACAUGUAAGGAAUCCCUCUGAAAGGGGGGAGUGCUGUAGAAUGGUUGUUUUAAUAAUCAGUUUACAGAACCUUAACACAGGUGGUACAUAGCUGUCGUCAGUUCGUGCGGUGACGUGUACGGUUAAGUCCUAUUAACGAACGCAACCCUCGGUCUAAGUUAAAUAACAAUUGAUACUAAUUGAUCCACAUAAGCAGGCCUGCUGUUUGUGUGUCUAGAUUAAUAAACACUGUUAUUACCUCUUAGACAACUGCCAGUGCAAAUUGGAGGAAGGUGGGGAUGAUGUCAAGUCAGUAUGCCCCUUAUACCUUGGGCUACACACGUGUUACAAUGGUAAUGGACAAUCAGUAGCAACCUUGCAAAAGGAAGCAAAUCUGUUAAACCUUACCUUAGUUCAGAUUGAAGGCUGCAACUCGCCUUCAUGAAGUAGGAAUCGCUAGUAAACGCCGAUCAGCUACGCGGCGUUGAAUACGUUCAUUGGUUCUACAUUCUCCGCCCGUCACAUCGCGAAAGGGUACAAUAGACGAAAGCCAACACUUAACCAUCACUAGGUGGAGGGGAGGGUCUAAUCUAGUGUUGCUGAUCAUGAUGAAGUCGUAACAAGGUAGGGCUACUGGAAGGUGGUCCUGGAAC